rnacentral:lncRNA from 1 species
CCGAGCCUAAAUUUCAAGCCGGAGUAUUGCAACUCUCUCCCCUUUAAAGAAAUUUAGUCCCUCAAAUUGCUGCCAUCUCACUAGUCAAAUAGUUGAGGAUACUGGGUCCUGAAAUCUGAUUCCAACUCCCAAGUGGCCUCAUUCUAUAAAUAAUUUUGUCAUAACACCUUGAUGAAGGGAAUCUCUCUGUUGCGAAGCAUUCUACUCUUCCGGUCCAAAAUACCAACUGGUACCUCCUCGUAAGAUAACUCUUCCUGAAGUGGAAGUGGCUCGUAAGAUAAGAUAUUUGAGGGGUCUAAGUUGUACUUGCGUAGCAUUGACACAUAGUAUAUAUUAUGGACUCUAGAUAGUUCUGGAGGUAGUGAUA